rnacentral:rRNA from 1 species
UACGAAGGGGGCUAGCGUUGCUCGGAAUGACUGGGCGUAAAGGGCGCGUAGGCGGAUUGUACAGUCAGGCGUGAAAUUCCCGGGCUCAACCUGGGGGCUGCGCUUGAGACGUGCGAUCUUGAGUGGGGAAGAGGGUCGUGGAAUUCCCAGUGUAGAGGUGAAAUUCGUAGAUAUUGGGAAGAACACCGGUGGCGAAGGCGGCGACCUGGUCCUUGACUGACGCUGAGGCUCGAAAGCGUGGGGAGCGAACAGG